GACGAACGCUGGCGGCGUGCUUAACACAUGCAAGUCGAACGGAAAGGCCCUGCUUUUGUGGGGUGCUCGAGUGGCGAACGGGUGAGUAACACGUGAGUAACCUGCCCUUGACUUUGGGAUAACUUCAGGAAACUGGGGCUAAUACCGGAUAGGAGCUCCUGCUGCAUGGUGGGGGUUGGAAAGUUUCGGCGGUUGGGGAUGGACUCGCGGCUUAUCAGCUUGUUGGUGGGGUAGUGGCUUACCAAGGCUUUGACGGGUAGCCGGCCUGAGAGGGUGACCGGCCACAUUGGGACUGAGAUACGGCCCAGACUCCUACGGGAGGCAGCAGUGGGGAAUAUUGCACAAUGGGCGGAAGCCUGAUGCAGCAACGCCGCGUGCGGGAUGACGGCCUACGGGUUGUAAACCGCUUUCGCCUGUGACGAAGCGUGAGUGACGGUAAUGGGUAAAGAAGCACCGGCUAACUACGUGC
rnacentral:rRNA from 1 species